UACGAAGGGGGCUAGCGUUGCUCGGAAUCACUGGGCGUAAAGCGCACGUAGGCGGAUCUUUAAGUCAGGGGUGAAAUCCCAAGGCUCAACCUUGGAACUGCCUUUGAUACUGGGGAUCUCGAGUCCGGAAGAGGUGAGUGGAACUGCGAGUGUAGAGGUGAAAUUCGUAGAUAUUCGCAAGAACACCAGUGGCGAAGGCGGCUCACUGGUCCGGUACUGACGCUGAGGUACGAAAGCGUGGGGAGCAAACAGG
rnacentral:rRNA from 1 species